rnacentral:rRNA from 1 species
UAGCGGCGGACGGGUGAGUAAUGCUUAGGAAUCUGCCUAUUAGUGGGGGACAACUUUUCGAAAGGAAUGCUAAUACCGCAUACGUCCUACGGGAGAAAGCAGGGGAUCUUCGGACCUUGCGCUAAUAGAUGAGCCUAAGUCGGAUUAGCUAGUUGGUGGGGUAAAGGCCUACCAAGGCGACGAUCCGUAGCUGGUUUGAGAGGAUGACCCGCCACACUGGGACUGAGACACGGCCCAGACUCCUACGGGAGGCAGCAGUGGGGAAUAUUGGACAAUGGGCGCAACCCUGAUCCAGCCAUGCCGCGUGUGUGAAGAAGGCCUUAUGGUUGUAAAGCACUUUUGGCGAGGAGGAGGCUACUUUAGUUAAUACCUAGAGAUAGUGGACGUUACUCCCAAAAAAACCACCGGCUAACUCUGUGCCACCACCCGCGGUAAUACAAAGGGUGCAACCGUUAAUCGAAUUUACGGG